GUCUGUCUGUCUAAAUGCGUAGUUUGGCGCGUAGCACAUUUUAAAUUCUUUAAUGUAAUGUGAUUAUUUGUAAUAUUAUAUUUUUAAUUGAAGAAGAUCGAUAUAUAUACAUGUGCAUAUAUAUUUAAAAAUGCCAGAAAUUAAAAUCAAGCACAUAGUUUCAUUUAGCAGUGAAGAUAAGGUUCAUAAAGCUGAGAAUUUACUUAUACCAGAAACUUAUAAGAAAUGGAAAUGUGCAACACCCGGGGAAAAGAAUGCAAGUGUUGUUUUACAGUUUGAGAAAGCCACUAAGAUACAUUCACUUGAUAUAGGGAAUGAUGGCUCAGCAUUUGUUGAGGUUCUUGUGGGUCGAUCCUCAGAUCCCUUGAAUAAUUAUCAAGUUUUAUUAGUGGCUUCAUCUUUCAUGAGCCCAUUAGAAAGUCGAACUGGAACCCACACAAACAGAGUUCGGAUGUUUGGUCCUGAUAAACUGGCUCAGAACUUGAAAGAUGAAAAAUGGGAUUGUGUACAAGUUGUGUGCACACAGCCCUUUAAUAAGAAUGCAACAUAUGGUUUAACAUUCAUAAAAUUUCAUUCUCCUCCUGAAAAAUCUGAAGAGCAACCAAAAGAGCCUGAAACAAAAGCUGCUGUUGGAAAAAUGGGUGCUUUCAAAAUAAAAUAUGAAGAUGAAGAUAUUCCGUCAGUUGGUUCAUGGUUUGGGAAGCGACAGAGCUUUAGUAAAAUUUCAAGUCCUGUUUCAAGCCAGGAUUCACCAUCUUAUGCAGCAGCAGUUCUUGCUUCCUCUGAUGUGUCACCAAAACUGUCAGGCUCCCAGGAUAAUAUUCUGAAGAGAAAACAUAAUGAAAGUGAUAAAGAUUUAGCAGGACCAUCAACAAAAAAGCCACCACCCCUUUUUCAAAUCAAUAAGGAAAAAAGUGUUGAUAAAGAUAUUUUAAAAACUCCAGGCUCUGUUGCUAAGAAAACAUCGGUCAUUCAUGUGGAUAAAGAAAAAGUUGGACAUAAAGAUAUUUUUGGAAAGGAAAGCCCUAGCAACAGAAAAACAGCUACUGUAAAUAGCGGACUAAAUUCCAGUGGUAUCCAACCAGGUAUUCAGAAAAUGGAUAAAAAAAAGCCUUUUAACCAAAUUAUGAACAAAGUAGUUUUUGUUUUGAGUGGAUUUGUCAAUCCUUUAAGGAGCGAGCUGAGAGAUAAAGCUUUGGAAAUGGGAGCUAAAUAUAGAGGAGAUUGGAACAGUUCAUGCACACAUCUUGUAUGUGCAUUCCUAAAUACACCUAAAUAUGUCCAAGUCCAGAGUGCAGGUGGAAAAAUUGUAACCAAGAACUGGAUAUUAGAUUGCUACAAGAAAAAAACUCUCUUACCCUGGAAAAAGUAUAAACUUGGAGGUGAUGAGGAAGAAAGCUCUGAUGUUACAUCAGAAAGUGAAGAAGAACCAGCGGUUAUUGUUAGGAAGACCGCUAAACCUGAAAUUUCAAAACAAAAUGGUAUUAAAGACAAAGAAAAAGUAACAGAGGAGGAUAUAAAUGAAGAAAAAUCUAGUAAUUUGAAUCUCUCAAAUUUAAGUUUGAAAAAUAACACAGGAAGUAAUAUCGAUUCUCCUAUUGUUAUAAAAGAUGAAAGUGAAACAGAGGAUGAGGAUGCUAUUCAAGACUAUAUGGCUGACACAGAUGUUGAAACAAAUUCUGGUGGUGAUACAGAAGAUGAAAUUCGCAAGGUGGAAGCAAAAGCUGUGAAAAAAGAUAAACUUUCCCACAUCAAGGUGGAUAGUAAUGAGACUGAUGAUGUAGAUUCAUCUAUUCUGUAUUCUAAACCUGAUACUAAAGAUUUACCUCUGCCUGAAUUACCAAAUUUAUUCAAAAGCAGACAUUUCUACCUAUUUGGAGAUUUUAAAUUUCAAAUGGAACAUGAUUUGAAGAGAUACAUAACUGCUUAUAAUGGCGUGAUUGAAGAUUAUAUGAGUGAUACAAUCAAGUAUGUGAUUACGGAAUCUAAGUGGGACAAGAAUUUUGAAGAAUGAAAAUGAUUCCUUUCAACCAAGGACAACAUGGAUCGGUGAGGAUUUGGAAACGAAAGGUCCAGGGUAUGAAACCUAUCAAAGGCCCUUAAUGAGAAUGAAGAUCUCAUAUUUGUAAAACCACAAUGGAUUUUCAAGUGUC
rnacentral:misc_RNA from 1 species